rnacentral:rRNA from 1 species
AAAGACGAAACUCGAAACUUGACCUCAAAUCAGGUAGGACUACCCGCUGAACUUA